rnacentral:rRNA from 1 species
CUCUGCGCAAGGGAUCUU